rnacentral:rRNA from 1 species
AUUGAACGCUGGCGGCAGGCCUAGCACAUGCAAGUCGAGCGGAUGAAGGGAGCUUGCUCCUGGAUUCAGCGGCGGACGGGUGAGUAAUGCCUAGGAAUCUGCCUGGUAGUGGGGGAUAACGUCCGGAAACGGGCGCUAAUACCGCAUACGUCCUGAGGGAGAAAGUGGGGGAUCUUCGGACCUCACGCUAUCAGAUGAGCCUAGGUCGGAUUAGCUAGUUGGUGGGGUAAAGGCCUACCAAGGCGACGAUCCGUAACUGGUCUGAGAGGAUGAUCAGGCACACUGGAACUGAGACACGGUCCAGACUCCUACGGGAGGCAGCAGUGGGGAAUAUUGGACAAUGGGCGAAAGCCUGAUCCAGCCAUGCCGCGUGUGUGAAGAAGGUCUUCGGAUUGUAAAGCACUUUAAGUUGGGAGGAAGGGCAGUAAGUUAAUACCUUGCUGUUUUGACGUUACCAACAGAAUAAGCACCGGCUAACUUCGUG